CAGCCGCCGCGGUAAUACGGAGUGUGCAAGCGUUAAUCGGAAUUACUGGGCGUAAAGCGCACGCAGGCGGUCUGACAAGUCAGAUGUGAAAUCCCCGGGCUUAACCUGGGAACUGCAUUUGAAACUGUCAGGCUGGAGUCUUGUAGAGGGGGGUAGAAUUCCAGGUGUAGCGGUGAAAUGCGUAGAGAUCUGGAGGAAUACCGGUGGCGAAGGCGGCCCCCUGGACAAAGACUGACGCUCAGGUGCGAAAGCGUGGGGAGCAAACAGGAUUAGAUACCCCAGUAGUCCCUGUCUCUUAUAC
rnacentral:rRNA from 1 species